rnacentral:rRNA from 1 species
UUGCCUUAGUAACGGCGAGUGAAGCGGCAAUAGCUCAAAUUUGAAAUCUGGCUCUUUCAGAGUCCGAGUUGUAAUUUGCAGAGGGCGCUUUGGUGUUGGCAGCGGUCCAAGUUCCUUGGAACAGGACGUCACAGAGGGUGAGAAUCCCGUACGUGGUCGCUAGCCUUCGCCGUGUAAAGCCCCUUCGACGAGUCGAGUUGUUUGGGAAUGCAGCUCUAAAUGGGAGGUAAAUUUCUUCUAAAGCUAAAUACUGGCCAGAGACCGAUAGCGCACAAGUAGAGUGAUCGAAAGAUGAAAAGCACUUUGGAAAGAGAGUCAAAUAGCACGUGAAAUUGUUGAAAGGGAAGCGCUUGCAGCCAGACUUGCCUGUAGUUGCUUAUCCGGACUUUUGUCCGGUGCACUCUUCUGCGGGCAGGCCAGCAUCAGUUUGGGCGGUUGGAUAAAGGUCUCUGUCAUGUACCUCUCUUCGGGGAGAACUUAUAGGGGAGACGACAUGCAACCAGCCUGGACUGAGGUCCGCGCAUCUGCUAGGAUGCUGGCGUAAUGGCUGUAAGCGGCCCGUCUUGAAACACGGACCAAGGAGUCUAACAUCUAUGCGAGUGUUUGGGUGUCAAGCCCAGACGCGUAAUGAAAGUGAACGGAGGUGGGAACCCUUUGGGUGCACCAUCGACCGAUCCUGAUGUCUUCGGAUGGAUUUGAGUAAGAGCAUGGCUGUUGGGACCCGAAAGAUGGUGAACUAUGCUUGAAUAGGGUGAAGCCAGAGGAAACUCUGGUGGAGGCUCGCAGCGGUUCUGACGUGCAAAUCGAUCGUCAAAUUUGGGCAUAGGGGCGAAAGACUAAUCGAACUAUCUAGUAGCUGGUUCCUGCCGAAGUUUCCCUCAGGAUAGCAGUAACGUAUUCAGUUUUAUGAGGUAAAGCGAAUGAUUAGAGGCCUGGGGGUUGAAACAACCUUCACCUAUUCUCAAACUUUAAAUAUGUAAGAAGUCCUUGUUACUUGAUUGAACGUGGACACUUGAAUGUACCGUUACUAGUGGGCCAUUUUUGG